rnacentral:lncRNA from 1 species
UGUUCCCUGCACAAAGAAACUCAUCUGAUGAGGCCUGAGAGCUGCACUAAUCUAUAGGUACAGAGAUGAAUUUAGAGAGCAGUUUGACACUAGGUCAAUUUAACAAAAUAAUAAUAGUAGGUUGACCCCUGGGGCCUAUUAACUAGACCUAACUGUAGGUUCUUGUUUAGCUUUACAAUACCAGCCAUUUAUUUCCUGUGGAGAAAGCCUUUAAAAACUGCCCAUAUUUAAAUUAUGGUUUUUUUUUCUGUUGAAUUAUAGACACCUCAUGUAUUUUUGACAUAAAUUCAUAUUAGCUACAUGGGUUGAAAGUAUUUUCCCCAAGCCUUUUCAGUCUUGGUUGUUUUGUUGGUAGUUUAAUUUCUUUCAAACUAUACAUCUACAUCGAGAUAAAACAAUUCUAGCCUAGAGUCUUCCAUUCCCAUCCAAAUGGAACAAGUUUUAAAAAGACUUGUACAAGAAUGUUCACAGUGUCUUGUUUUUAAAAAAGAUGGCAAUGGGAAAAAGCCCAGGUGACCUUAUGGAACAAUUAAUAAACUAUGGGACUUAGCAUAGAUUGCAUUCCCACUGAGAAUGCCCUAGAGAUGCAGUUGCUAAGAAAACCUCACAAAUAUCUGGUGGCAUUCGUCUUUGCUGUUAAACAUUUUCUGCCUGUAGUAGUAACUUGUGGUCUCUAAUUUGCACUUCCAUAAUUGUGGUGACCAUAUUUUCAUAUAUGUACUGCCCCUUCAUGGAUCUUUAAAAAAAUGUCUAUGCAAAUUUAUUUCCUGUUUUUCAGUUGGAUUUUUAGUAACUUGUUCAAGUGUGGGUUUUAUAUACCCUAUAUACUAGACUUUUAGUUUAUGUAUGUUUUGCAAAUAAUUUUAGUUUGUGAAUUGACUGUUCGUUUCUUUUUUUCUUUUUCUUUUUUGUUGUUGUUUGAGAUGUUUGUUUGUUUGCUUGUUUGUUUGUUUGUUUUUCAGACAGGGUCUCAUGAUAUAGGCUUGGCUGACCUGCAGCUUGCUAUGUAGAUCAAGCUGAUCUCAAACACAAGAGGUCUUCCAGCCCCUGCCUGCUAGAAAUAAAGACAUGUACCACAAUACCAGUCUUCGUUUUCCUAGAUGUAGUUUUUGAAGAAUACAAAUUUUAGUUAAAUUUUUAUGAGGCUAGGUUUCUAAUUUUUUCUCUAGUGUUGCUUCUAUACUCUGCCCAGAAAUCAUUCUACACUUAAAUUGUUAGAAAAAAAAUGGGUUAUCUUGCCAGAAUCACCCCUGUUACUGGGUAAAUUAGGGUUCUCUCUUGAUGUUCUUAGUCUUGUUAAUAAAAGAACUUUAUAAUGGAAUCAAAAUAAAAGCUUGAGAAAUUUUAUUAGAGUUUUAAAAUUAAAUGAAAGCAAACAAGCUGCAAAUCUUGGCUGCCUAGAGGAGAGAGAGAGAAGCAAGCAAGCAAGCAAGCAAGCA